AUGGUGGAAGACCAGGUUUGGCUGCAAUUGCAUUGAUGAACGAGCCUACGCACCCGGUGUAACUUUAGAUGCACUUACGAAUAUUACAAAGCUGGAUACGAUGCCAUCAGGAAGUACACAACAAAUGCAUAUGUGAUCCUAUCGGCUCGAUUGGAAAUGCCGAUCCAAGGGAGCUCUACUCCUUAGCCGUUAGCAUGAAUCGAGUUGCCAUCGAUGUUCAUUACUACAACCUCUUUUCAGAUAACUUUAGAAGCUUGACUCCACAACAGAACAUCGAUUAUAUCAAUACUCAACGAGCUUCCGAUCUCGGCCGCUUGAUCUCCAACGGUCCCCGGUCUUAGUUGGGGAAUGGACUGGAGAAUUCGAUCGAGACGAUGCAUCAAUGGAAGAUUACAAGAGAUUUGUGAAAGCUCAGAUGGAUGUUUAUGGUGCUGCAACUUUUGGGUGGGCGUAUUGGUCUUAUAAAUGCGAGGAAAACCAUUGGAGCCUCAAGUGGAUGAUUGAGAACAACUUUAUAAAUCUUCAGUGAUAACUAUUUGAUAACGAAGCCUUAAAAUUACAAUAAAUGAGCUGCGGUUCGUCCAGGAAACUCUAUUAUUAAAGUUACUUCAAUCAAGUCUCUUGCUUUUUCUUUUC